rnacentral:rRNA from 1 species
UACGGAGGAUGCGAGCGUUAUCCGGAUUUAUUGGGUUUAAAGGGUGCGUAGGCGGUCCGUUAAGUCAGCGGUAAAAUUGCGGGGCUCAACCCCGUCGAGCCGUUGAAACUGUCAGACUUGAGUUGGCGAGAAGUACGCGGAAUGCGCGGUGUAGCGGUGAAAUGCAUAGAUAUCGCACAGAACUCCGAUUGCGAAGGCAGCGUACCGGCGCCACACUGACGCUGAGGCACGAAAGCGUGGGGAUCGAACAGG